rnacentral:rRNA from 1 species
CCAACUUCGGUUAUAAGAUCCCUCGAAGAUGACGAGGUUAAUAGGUUCGAGGUGGAAGCGUGGUGACACGUAGAGCUGACGAAUACUAAUCGAUCGAAGACUUAAUCAAU